CAAUCAUAUCACAUUAAAACACUGUUCACAUCCGAUCACUGAAGUUGAGCAACAUUCAGCCUGGUCAGUACUCAGAUGGGUGACUGCUGGGGAAUACUUUUGGUUG